GGGUGUGGGCAGGGCAGAAGAUCAAGCACUCCGUCCUCUGCCAGGUCGCCGCCGCUGCUCGGGACGUAGACGCGCACAUGGGUCCGUCAGUCGCUGGCAAAGGAGGUCGAGUCCGUGCGGAGCACUGGUCUCCUCGCUGUCGUCGUCGUCCUCCCUGCUGCCAGCGACGCCCUCCUGUCUCCUCUGCACCAGUCUACUCCUUCAUGUCUGUCCCCCUCUCAAUCUCCUCUUUCUGUUGUUUGUUUUCUCUAUCUCACAUAGGAAAGCUCUUGAUCCACCAAAACGCUGAAUCAUGUUCAUAUUUGCUACCCUAGGAAAGAAGGAUAUAAAACUGAACUACAAACAUCAGUAGUAGAGCAUACAUCAUAAAGGGUUGUGGAUGUCCCAUUGCUGCACAAACUGAACCAAGGAUGUUUAGCAACUAAUUUCUUUUUUUGUGGGAUCAACAGGAGGAUGGGAUUCAUAAUUGAGAACAUUAUGUGUUCAUAAUAUAUAUUUUGUGGUAGCAACUGAACCAAGGAUGCUCAUGGCAAGUUUAAUCGCAAUAUAAAUCACUUGGUUUGGAAACACACCUGCUAAAAAAAUAGAUUGAUCUUUUCUUAAAAUCUUCAACCUACUAUGUAAACCAGUUCUCCUUUGUAUCAAUCUGAGAUCCAUCUGGAUUAUAUCUGAUUUUAGUGAUAUAUAAAUCAAAAUUGAUUUAUUCACUCUUUGGUAAGCACUUAUCUUUAGAUGACACAUUUGAUAGUUCUGGUGUUCUGUUUUAUGUGGUUUGAUUUUAUCAACCGAAUUUGGUCUUUCUUUUGCAGAUUAUUUACAAAAGAAAAUGGUUUGGGGUGAAGAGUUGAAGGCUUGAAGCCAAAUGUUCCUAAUCAAGAAGAUGACCCGCACAACUCCCCUGAAACAAGGCCAGCACUAUGUGCCAAGAUUGAAGAUCCCAAAUAUGUUUACUUUGGUCCAAUAUCGUAUAGCAGUGUAAUGCUUCAGGCACUUUUUAUCAUUCAUUUUUAUUAUUCAAAUCUCUAUAUGGUUGCCAUAGAUGCUACUAUUACAUGGAUUUAUUACUAUU
rnacentral:lncRNA from 1 species